rnacentral:rRNA from 1 species
CAUACGGGUGGCAGCAGUGAGGAAUAUUGGUCAAUGGGCGGAAGCCUGAACCAGCCAAGCAGCGUGCGGGAAGACGGCCCUACGGGUUGUAAACUGCUUUUGUACGGGAAUAACGCGCCUUACGUGUAGGCCUUUGCAUGUACCGUAAGAAUAAGGACCGGCUAAUUCCGUGCCAGCAGCCGCGGUAAUACGGAGGGUCCGGGCGUUAUCCGGAUUUGUUGGGUUUAAAGGGAGCGUAGGCGGUAUGUCAAGCGUGCUGUGAAAUGUCCGGGCUCAACCCCGGCCUUGCAGGGGGAACUGGCGGGCUUGAGUGCGCGGGAAGCAGGCGGAAUUCGUCGUGUAGCGGUGAAAUGCUUAGAUAUGACGAAGAACCCCGAUUGCGAAGGCAGCUUGCUGCAGCGGAACUGACGCUGAGGCUCGAAAGCGUGGGUAUCGAACAGGAUUAGAUACCCCUGUAGUC